rnacentral:rRNA from 1 species
UACGGAGGGUGCAAGCGUUAUCCGGAUUCAUUGGGUUUAAAGGGAGCGUAGGUGGCCUUAUAAGUCAGUGGUGAAAUCUCUGGGCUUAACCCAGAAAUUGCCAUUGAUACUGUAGGGCUUGAGUAUAGUUGCCGUUGGCGGAAUAUGACAUGUAGUGGUGAAAUACAUAGAGAUGUCAUAGAACACCGAUUGCGAAGGCAGCUAACGAAACUAUAACUGACACUGAGGCUCGAAAGUGCGGGGAUCAAACAGG